CCUUACCCUACCCUUGACAUCCAGAGAAUGUGUCAGAGAUCGUAGAGUGCCCUCGGGAACUCUGAGACAGGUGGUGCAUGGCGGUCGUCAGCACGUGUCGUGAGAUGUUGGGUUAAGUCCCGUAACGAGCGCACCCCUCAUCUCUAGUUGCCACCGGGUGAUGCUGGGCACUCUAGGGAGACUGCCGGUGAUAAACCGGAGGAAGGUGGGGAGGACGUCAAGUCAUCAUGGCCCUUAUGGGUAGGGCUACACACGUGCUACAAUGGCGCGGUACAGAGGGUGACGAACUGCGACAGUCAGCCAAUCCCACAAAGCCGGUCCUAGUCCGGAUUGGAGUCUGCAACUCGACUCCAUGAAGUCGGAAUCGCUAGUAAUCGCGAUCAGCGGGUCUUGUACACACCG
rnacentral:rRNA from 1 species